AACAAACGCUGGCGGCGUGUCUUAAGCAUGCAAGUUGAGCGGCAAGGCGGAGUAAUCCCUCCUAGAGCGGCGGACUGGUGAGUAACGCGUGGGUAAUCUACCUUGGGCAUGGGGAUAGCCACUAGAAAUAGUGGGUAAUACCGAAUACGUUCCACGGGGGAAGGGCUUGUGGAAGAAAGGGUGCUACGGCACUGGCCUGAGAUGAGCUCGCGUCCCAUUAGCUGGUUGGUGAGGUAACGGCCCACCAAGGCGAUGAUGGGUAGCCGGCCUGAGAGGGUGUACGGCCACACUGGGACUGAGAUACGGCCCAGACUCCUACGGGAGGCAGCAGCUAAGAAUAUUCCGCAAUGGACGGAAGUCUGACGGAGCGACGCCGCGUGGAUGAUGAAGGCCGAAAGGUUGUAAAGUUCUUUUGCUGGGGAAGAAUAAGCCUAGGAGGGAAUGCCUAGGUGAUGACAUGAACCGGCGAAUAAGCCCCGGCCAACUACGUG
rnacentral:rRNA from 1 species